GCUUCGUUCGUCUAGGGGACUAGGACAUCCGGUUUUCGCCCGGAGAACAGCGGUUCGAAUCCGCUACGAAGCGCCA
rnacentral:tRNA from 1 species